CGCGAAUUCGCCCUUCGGGGUGCCCAGGCGCGAAAACUUUACAAUGCCGGCAACGGCGAUAAGGGAACCUCGAGUGCCAGGUUACAAAUCUGGCUGUCGUGAUGCCUAAAAAGCAUUGCAUAGCAAGGGCCGGGCAAGACCGGUGCCAGCCGCCGCGGUAACACCGGCGGCUCGAGUGGUAACCGUUAUUAUUGGGUCUAAAGGGUCUGUAGCCGGCCGGGUAAGUCUCUUGGGAAAUCUGGCAGCUUAACUGUCAGGCUUUCAGGAGAUACUGCCUGGCUCGAGGCCGGGAGAGGUGAGAGGUACUUCAGGGGUAGGGGUGAAAUCUUGUAAUCCUUGAAGGACCACCAGUGGCGAAGGCGUCUCACCAGAACGGACCUGACGGCAAGGGACGAAAGCUAGGGGCACGAACCGGAUUAGAUACCCGGGUAGUCCUAGCCGUAAACGAUACUCGCUAGGUGUCGGCCACGGUGCGACCGUGGUCGGUGCCGUAGGGAAGCCGUGAAGCGAGCCACCUGGGAAGUACGGCCGCAAGGCUGAAACUUAAAGGAAUUGGCGGGGGAGCAC
rnacentral:rRNA from 1 species